rnacentral:rRNA from 2 species
GUGGGUAACCUGCCUGUAAGACUGGGAUAACUCCNGGAAACCGGAGCUAAUACCGGAUAGUUCCUUGAACCGCAUGGUUCAAGGAUGAAAGACGGUUUCGGCUGUCACUUACAGAUGGACCCGCGGCGCAUUAGCUAGUUGGUGAGGUAACGGCUCACCAAGGCGACGAUGCGUAGCCGACCUGAGAGGGUGAUCGGCCACACUGGGACUGAGACACGGCCCAGACUCCUACGGGAGGCAGCAGUAGGGAAUCUUCCGCAAUGGACGAAAGUCUGACGGAGCAACGCCGCGUGAGUGAUGAAGGUUUUCGGAUCGUAAAGCUCUGUUGUUAGGGAAGAACAAGUGCAAGAGUAACUGCUUGCACCUUGACGGUACCUAACCAGAAAGCCACGGCUAACUACGUGCCAGCAGCCGCGGUAAUACGUAGGUGGCAAGCGUUGUCCGGAAUUAUUGGGCGUAAAGGGCUCGCAGGCGGUUUCUUAAGUCUGAUGUGAAAGCCCCCGGCUCAACCGGGGAGGGUCAUUGGAAACUGGGAAACUUGAGUGCAGAAGAGGAGAGUGGAAUUCCACGUGUAGCGGUGAAAUGCGUAGAGAUGUGGAGGAACACCAGUGGCGAAGGCGACUCUCUGGUCUGUAACUGACGCUGAGGAGCGAAAGCGUGGGGAGCGAACAGGAUUAGAUACCCUGGNUAGUCCACGCCGUAAACGAAUGAGUGCUAAGUGUUAGGGGGUUUCCGCCCCUUAGUGCUGCAGCUAACGCAUUAAGCACUCCGCCUGGGGAGUACGGUCGCAAGACUGAAACUCAAAGGAAUUGNCGGGGGCCCGCACAAGCGGUGGAGCAUGUGGUUUAAUUCGAAAGCAACGCGAAGAACCUUACCAGGUCUUGACAUCCUCUGACAACCCUAGAGAUAGGGCUUUCCCUUCGGGGACAGAGUGACAGGUGGUGCAUGGUUGUCGUCAGCUCGUGUCGUGAGAUGUUGGGUUAAGUCCCGCAACGAGCGCAACCCUUGAUCUUAGUUGCCAGCAUUCAGUUGGGCACUCUAAGGUGACUGCCGGUGACAAACCGGAGGAAGGUGGGGAUGACGUCAAAUCAUCAUGCCCCUUAUGACCUGGGCUACACACGUGCUACAAUGGACAGAACAAAGGGCUGCGAGACCGCAAGGUUUAGCCAAUCCCACAAAUCUGUUCUCAGUUCGGAUCGCAGUCUGCAACUCGACUGCGUGAAGCUGGAAUCGCUAGUAAUCGCG